UGGUUCUCGCAUCGAUGAAGAACGCAGCGAAACGCGAUAGGUAAUGUGAAUUGCAGAAUUCCGUGAAUCAUCGAAUCUUUGAACGCACAUUGCGCCUUCCGGUAUUCCGGUAGGCAUGCCUGUCUGAGCGUCAGCAAACACCCUUCGGGAGGAUCUCGCUAUCUCACCCGGUCUUGGGUCGGGGAGCCGGCGGGCUUGGGUUAGCCUCCCGUCCGCCCCCGCCUUAAAUUUGCUGUACGAACCCGAGCACCCUUCCGGCAUGGUCAAUGGAGUGUUGCCCCAAUCUUCCAGAAAGCCUGUCGGUGACCGCCUCGCGGCAUAAGACCAGUCGUCCCACCAGCGUGGGAUCGAAGCUUUGACCUCAGAUCAGACAAGGAUACCCGCUGA
rnacentral:misc_RNA from 1 species